rnacentral:rRNA from 1 species
AAAGAUUAAGCCAUGCAUGUCUUAGUAUAAGCAAUCUAUACGGUGAAACUGCGAAUGGCUCAUUAAAUCAGUUAUCGUUUAUUUGAUAGUACCUAACCUACUUGGAUAACCGUGGUAAUUCUAGAGGUAAUACAUGCUAAAAACCUCGACUUCGGAAGGGGUGUAUUUAUUAGAUAAAAAACCAAUGCCCUUCGGGGCUCCUUGGUGAUUCAUAAUAACUCAACGAAUCGCAUGGCCUUGCGCCGGCGAUGGUUCAUUCAAAUUUCUGCCCUAUCAACUUUCGAUGGUAGGAUAGUGGCCUACCAUGGUGUUAACGGGUAACGGGGAAUUAGGGUUCUAUUCCGGAGAGGGAGCCUGAGAAACGGCUACCACAUCCAAGGAAGGCAGCAGGCGCGCAAAUUACCCAAUCCCGACACGGGGAGGUAGUGACAAUAAAUAACGAUACAGGGCCCUUUCUGGGUCUUGUAAUUGGAAUGAGUACAAUUUAAAUCCCUAAUCGAGUGAAUGU